AUUGAACGCUGGCGGAAUGCUUUACACAUGCAAGUCGAGCGGCAGCACGGGGGCAACCCUGGUGGCGAGCGGCGAACGGGUGAGUAACACAUCGGAACGUACCCUGUCGUGGGGGAUAACGAGUCGAAAGAUUCGCUAAUACCGCAUACGACCCGGGGGUGAAAGCGGGGGAUCGCAAGACCUCGCGCGACUGGAGCGGCCGAUGGCGGAUUAGCUAGUUGGUGGGGUAAAGGCCCACCAAGGCGACGAUCCGUAGCGGGUCUGAGAGGACGGCCCGCCACACUGGGACUGAGACACGGCCCAGACUCCUACGGGAGGCAGCAGUGGGGAAUUUUGGACAAUGGGGGGCAACCCUGAUCCAGCCAUUCCGCGUGAGUGAAGAAGGCCUCGGUU
rnacentral:rRNA from 1 species